GAUGAACGCUGGCGGCGUGCCUAAUACAUGCAAGUCGAGCGAACAGAUAAGGAGCUUGCUCCUUUGACGUUAGCGGCGGACGGGUGAGUAACACGUGGAUAACCUACCUAUAAGACUGGGAUAACUUCGGGAAACCGGAGCUAAUACCGGAUAACAUAUUGAACCGCAUGGUUCAAUAGUGAAAGGCGGCUUUGCUGUCGCUUAUAGAUGGAUCCGCGCCGUAUUAGCUAGUUGGUAAGGUAACGGCUUACCAAGGCAACGAUACGUAGCCGACCUGAGAGGGUGAUCGGCCACACUGGAACUGAGACACGGUCCAGACUCCUACGGGAGGCAGCAGUAGGGAAUCUUCCGCAAUGGGCGAAAGCCUGACGGAGCAACGCCGCGUGAGUGAUGAAGGUCUUCGGAUCGUAAAACUCUGUUAUCAGGGAAGAACAAAUGUGUAAGUAACUGUGCACAUCUUGACGGUACCUGAUCAGAAAGCCACGGCUAACUAUGUG
rnacentral:rRNA from 1 species